rnacentral:rRNA from 1 species
GACGAACGCUGGCGGCGUGCUUAACACAUGCAAGUCGAACGCUGAAGCUCAGCUUUUGUUGGGUGGAUGAGUGGCGAACGGGUGAGUAACACGUGAGUAACCUGCCCCCUUCUUUGGGAUAACGCCCGGAAACGGGUGCUAAUACUGGAUAUUCACUGGUCUUCGCAUGGGGGUUGGUGGAAAGGGCUUUUCUGGUGGGGGAUGGGCUCGCGGCCUAUCAGCUUGUUGGUGGGGUGAUGGCCUACCAAGGCUUUGACGGGUAGCCGGCCUGAGAGGGUGACCGGUCACAUUGGGACUGAGAUACGGCCCAGGCCCCGACGGGGGGCAGCAGUGGGGAAUAUUGCACAAUGGGCGCAAGCCUGAUGCAGCGACGCCGCGUGAGGGAUGGGGGCCUUCGGGUUGUGAACCUCUUUCGCUCAUGGUCAAGCCGCAACAAUGGUUGUGGUGAGGGUAGUGGGUAAAGAAGCGCCGGCUAACUACGUG